AGAGUUUGAUCCUGGCUCAGGAUGAACGCUGGCGGCGUGCCUAAUACAUGCAAGUCGAGCGAACGGACGAGAAGCUUGCUUCUCUGAUGUUAGCGGCGGACGGGUGAGUAACACGUGGAUAACCUACCUAUAAGACUGGGAUAACUUCGGGAAACCGGAGCUAAUACCGGAUAAUAUUUUGAACCGCAUGGUUCAAAAGUGAAAGACGGUCUUGCUGUCACUUAUAGAUGGAUCCGCGCUGCAUUAGCUAGUUGGUAAGGUAACGGCUUACCAAGGCAACGAUGCAUAGCCGACCUGAGAGGGUGAUCGGCCACACUGGAACUGAGACACGGUCCAGACUCCUACGGGAGGCAGCAGUAGGGAAUCUUCCGCAAUGGGCGAAAGCCUGACGGAGCAACGCCGCGUGAGUGAUGAAGGUCUUCGGAUCGUAAAACUCUGUUAUUAGGGAAGAACAUAUGUGUAAGUAACUGUGCACAUCUUGACGGUACCUAAUCAGAAAGCCACGGCUAACUACGUGCCAGCAGCCGCGGUAAUACGUAGGUGGCAAGCGUUAUCCGGAAUUAUUGGGCGUAAAGCGCGCGUAGGCGGUUUUUUAAGUCUGAUGUGAAAGCCCACGGCUCAACCGUGGAGGGUCAUUGGAAACUGGAAAACUUGAGUGCAGAAGAGGAAAGUGGAAUUCCAUGUGUAGCGGUGAAAUGCGCAGAGAUAUGGAGGAACACCAGUGGCGAAGGCGACUUUCUGGUCUGUAACUGACGCUGAUGUGCGAAAGCGUGGGGAUCAAACAGGAUUAGAUACCCUGGUAGUCCACGCCGUAAACGAUGAGUGCUAAGUGUUAGGGGGUUUCCGCCCCUUAGUGCUGCAGCUAACGCAUUAAGCACUCCGCCUGGGGAGUACGACCGCAAGGUUGAAACUCAAAGGAAUUGACGGGGACCCGCACAAGCGAUGGAGCAUGUGGUUUAAUUCGAAGCAACGCGAAGAACCUUACCAAAUCUUGACAUCCUUUGACAACUCUAGAGAUAGAGCUUUCCCCUUCGGGGG
rnacentral:rRNA from 1 species